CCUAACUGUGACAAGAGGAUUUCUCGCAACGUUUUAUCUACCAAAUGCGUAGAAAUUUCAACAACUAUAUGGAAUCUCGAGCGAUUACGGAGCACCGCGUAUUACGUCGGUGCUGCAAGAAUAGAAAUUGCAUUACUAUCUUGAUGUAUAUAUGGAUAUUUUCUGGUUGCAGUCUCACCGUUCGAGAUGGCAUUGGGACAAGCGGAGGGAGUUGGUGUUCGCAACGAUGCUGAAGCGUACUGCACGCUCGGGGACCCCAUGUUCUCCAGUCUCUGCGCCUUUCGUUGGCUUAGUUUAUAUAUUAUAUUGUAUGCAUUGGUUUGAAAUAUAUACUUUGCAUGUCUUAUAUUUUAAAGAAAAUUUGUAUAGUACAUUUUAGCUUGUAGAUUUAGUAGUAUCGUUUCUAAUAUUCGCUCCAUUAUUCUGUACGUCAAGAUUUUGUAUAUUUGCUUAAUGUUGAUUAACAGUUUUGUAGACUUUAAGAAAUGAAAUGAAAUUAAUAAAAUUUGGAAAAUGUUUACAA